rnacentral:rRNA from 1 species
UACGUAGGGGGGCAAGCGUUGUCCGGAAUCAUUGGGCGUAAAGCGCGUGUAGGCGGCCCGAUAAGUCCGCUGUGAAAGUCCAGGGCUCAACCCUGGGAUGCCGGUGGAUACUGUCGGGCUCGAGUCCGGAAGAGGAGUGUGGAAUUCCUGGUGUAGCGGUGAAAUGCGCAGAUAUCAGGAGGAACACCAAUGGCGAAGGCAGCACUCUGGGACGUGACUGACGCUGAGACGCGAAAAGCGUGGGGAGCAAACAGG